rnacentral:rRNA from 1 species
UACGAAGGGGGCUAGCGUUGCUCGGAAUCACUGGGCGUAAAGCGCACGUAGGCGGAUCGCUAAGUCAGGGGUGAAAUCCUGGAGCUCAACUCCAGAACUGCCUUUGAUACUGGCAAUCUCGAGUCCGGAAGAGGUGAGUGGAACUGCGAGUGUAGAGGUGAAAUUCGUAGAUAUUCGCAAGAACACCAGUGGCGAAGGCGGCUCACUGGCCCGGUACUGACGCUGAGGUGCGAAAGCGUGGGGAGCAAACAGG